rnacentral:rRNA from 1 species
AUCUGGUGCGUGGUGGCCUGGCUGUUCAACCACUUCACCUUCACCAUCGGCACCAGAGGGAACUGCGGGUCCAUCGUCUGCGCCGCCAUGCUAUGGACCCUCAUCUGCUUGAUGAAGGGUGUAAGCUCUGAAUCCUUUUUUUAUGUCUGUUCAGUGAUAGCUACCUUUAUGAACUACUAG